GUACGCAGGUCAGCAGUGGGGUGUCACUCGUUGCGCCUUCUAAGCGCUUGGCCGCAGGUUCGAGUCCUGCCGGGG
rnacentral:tRNA from 1 species